CCUACGGGAGGCAGCAGUAGGGAAUAUUGCUCAAUGGGGGCAACCCUGAAGCAGCAACGCCGCGUGGAGGAUGACUGUUUUCGGAGUUUAAACUCCUUUUUUUAGAGAAGUUAAUGACGGUAUCUAUCGAAUAAUCACCGUCUAACUCCUUUCCAGCAUCCGCUGUAAUACGGAGGGUGCCAGCGUUACUCGGAAUCACUGUGCGUAAAGGGAGCGUAGACGGGAUAGCAAGUCAGUAGUGAAAUUCUACGGCUUAACCUUAAAAUUGCAAUUGAUACGGUUAUUCUUGAGUAUGGGGGAGGUAGGGGGAAUUCGUGGUGUAGGGGUAAAAUGCGUAGAGAUCAAGAAGAAUUCCGAUUGCGAAGGCAGCUUGCUAAA
rnacentral:rRNA from 1 species